rnacentral:rRNA from 1 species
ACAGAGGGUGCAAGCGUUGUUCGGAAUUAUUGGGCGUAAAGCGCGUGUAGGCGGCAUAGCAAGUCGGGUGUGAAAGCCCUCAGCUCAACUGAGGAAGUGCGCCCGAAACUGCUGUGCUUGAGUGCCGGAGAGGAUGGCGGAAUUCCCCAAGUAGAGGUGAAAUUCGUAGAUAUGGGGAGGAACACCGGUGGCGAAGGCGGCCAUCUGGACGGUAACUGACGCUGAGACGCGAAAGCGUGGGUAGCAAACAGGAUUAGAUACCCUGGUAGUCCACGCCGUAAACGAUGAGAACUAGAUGUCGCGGGUGUUGACCCCUGCGGUGUCGUAGCUAACGCAUUAAGUUCUCCGCCUGGGAAGUACGGUCGCAAGAUUA